rnacentral:tRNA from 1 species
AUCUUCUGAGUAUGAAUAAGUACACUUGCCUUCCAAGUAAGAGGAUUAAAAAGAUUUAAAGAAGAUACC